UACGGGGGGAGCAAGCGUUGUUCGGAUUUACUGGGCGUAAAGGGCGCGUAGGCGGCGCAACAAGUCACUUGUGAGAUCUCCGGGCUUAACCCGGAGCGGCCAAGUGAUACUGUCGUGCUAGAGUGCGGAAGGGGCUACUGGAAUUCUCGGUGUAGCGGUGAAAUGCGUAGAUAUCAAGAGGAACACCUGCGGCGAAGGCGGGUUGCUGGGCCGACACUGACGCUGAGGCGCGAAAGCCAGGGGAGCAAACAGG
rnacentral:rRNA from 1 species